rnacentral:rRNA from 1 species
UUCCUUUAUAAUAAUUUUAGACAAAAAGACCCUAUGAAGCUUACAAUGAAUAUACAACAAAUUAAUUAAGAAUUGUUUCUUUGGGGAAAAGGUUAACGAUUGUAUUUUUAGAGUGUAAGAUCCUGAGAAGAACAACGAAAAAGCUCCUCUAGGGAUA